UACAGAGGAUGCAAGCGUUAUCCGGAAUGAUUGGGCGUAAAGCGUCUGUAGGUGGCUUUUUAAGUCCGCCGUCAAAUCCCAGGGCUCAACUCUGGACAGGCGGUGGAAACUACCAAGCUGGAGUACGGUAGGGGCAGAGGGAAUUUGAGGUAGGCGGAAUUGACGGUGUAGCGGUGAAAUGCUUAGAUAUCGUCAAGAACACCGAUAGUGAAGACAGCUUACCAAGCUUCAACUGACGCUGAGGCACGAAAGUGUGGGGAUCAAACAGG
rnacentral:rRNA from 1 species